rnacentral:rRNA from 1 species
GACGAACGCUGGCGGCGUGCUUAACACAUGCAAGUCAAACGGAAAGGCCCUGCUUUUGUGGGGUGCUCGAGUGGCGAACGGGUGAGUAACACGUGAGUAACCUGCCCUUGACUUUGGGAUAACUUCAGGAAACUGGGGCUAAUACCGGAUAGGAGCUCCUGCUGCAUGGUGGGGGUUGGAAAGUUUCGGCGGUUGGGGAUGGACUCGCGGCUUAUCAGCUUGUUGGUGGGGUAGUGGCUUACCAAGGCUUUGACGGGUAGCCGGCCUGAGAGGGUGACCGGCCACAUUGGGACUGAGAUACGGACCAGACUCCUACGGGAGGCAGCAGUGGGGAAUAUUGCACAAUGGGCGGAAGCCUGAUGCAGCAACGCCGCGUGCGGGAUGACGGCCUUCGGGUUGUAAACCGCUUUCGCAUGUGACGAAGCGUGAGUGACGGUAAUGGGUAAAGAAGCACCGGCUAACUACGUG